GUGAAUACCAAGUAUUUGAGAAAUUUAGGUAUUGCUUAGAUAGAUAAUCAUUUGAAAUGAAAGGAUUUGAAUUUUUUAUGUUAGUUUUGAUGUUUAUAAUAUAUAGAUUAUCUUUGGUUGGGUUAAUUCAUUGAAUGGAGACUGAAUUCAUGAUUGUGGAUUACAAUUUGUUGAAGUGUUAGGUUGGGUGCAUCAUUGAAUGGACUAAAUUUUGGACUACAUUCUAGAAUUUCAAAUCUCCAUUAACAGACCGACCCUAUAGAAUUUAUGCAAUUUGUAUAUGUUGGUACUUAGGAUUAGUGAUUUUUGAUGUUUAAUCCAGUGGUUGCUGCUGGUUGUAAAGAUUCAGAGAAUAUGGAACAUGAAUGCUUACUGCAUAAUGGUUUAUUGCUUUUAUAUGUGGUCUACACACUUUUUUUGCUCAUGGUAAGUGUCCCUUUCUAUAUUUUCAUUUUUGCGUCCACCCUUGCAACAUUGAGGUUGUUCCACAGUAGGAAUGGCAAUGAUAAAAAGCUUGGUUUGAAGUUACAAGUCUAAGUUUUCUUGCUUGGAAUGAUCAGU
rnacentral:misc_RNA from 1 species